rnacentral:rRNA from 1 species
AACGAACGCUGGCGGCAUGCCUAACACAUGCAAGUCGAACGAGACCUUCGGGUCUAGUGGCGCACGGGUGCGUAACGCGUGGGAACCUGCCCUUAGGUUCGGAAUAACUCCCCGAAAGGGGUGCUAAUACCGGAUAAUGUCUUCGGACCAAAGAUUUCUCGCCUUUGGAUGGGCCCGCGUUGGAUUAGCUAGUUGGUAGGGUACAAGCCUGCCAAGGCGACGAUCCAUAGCUGGUCUGAGAGGAUGAUCAGCCACGCUGGGAAUGAGACACGGCCCAGACUCCUACGCGAGGCAGCAGUGGGGAAUAUUGGACAAGGGGCGAAAGUCUGAUCCAGCAAUGCCGGGUGAGUGAUGAAGGCCUUAGGGUUGUAAAGCUCUUUUACCCGGGAUGAUAAUGACAGUACCGGGAGAAUAAGCUCCGGCUAACUCCGUG